AAUCAACGCUGGCGGCGUGCCUCAGACAUGCAAGUCGAACGCGAAAGUCCCCUUCGGGGGACAAGUAGAGUGGCGCACGGGUGAGUGACACGUAGGUAAUCUACCUUCGGGUGGGGAAUAACAACCGGAAACGGUUGCUAAUACCGCAUAAUGCAGCGGCACCUAAUGGUGACAGUUGUUAAAGCGGGGGAUCGCAAGACCUCGCGCCUGAAGAGGAGCCUGCGGCGGAUUAGCUAGUUGGCAGGGUAACGGCCUACCAAGGCGACGAUCCGUAGCCGGCCUGAGAGGGCGGUCGGCCACACUGACACUGACAUACGGGUCAGACUCCUACGGGAGGCAGCAGUCGGGAAUUUUAGGCAAUGGGCGAAAGCCUGACCCAGCAACGCCGCGUGAAGGAUGAAAUCCCUCGGGAUGUAAACUUCGCAAGAACGGGGAGAAUAAGCCGGUGUGAACACCACCGGCGAUGACGGUACCGUUUGUAAGCUCCGGCUAACUCCGUGCCAGCAGCCGCGGUAAUACGGGGGGAGCAAGCGUUGUUCGGAUUUACUGGGCGUAAAGGGCGCGUAGGCGGCCACCGCAAGUCAAUUGUGAAUCUCCGGGCUUAACUCGGAAAGGUCAACUGAUACUGCGGGGCUAGAGUGCGAAAGGGGCAACUGG
rnacentral:rRNA from 1 species